AAAAAAGGUUGAUUCAUUGAUAAGAAAAGGUAAAAGACUCUAGGUGAAGUAAGCUAAAGAAGCAGAAAAAGUCUAGUAAAGGUUUCGGGAUUUGUAAAGAAAAGAAAGAGUUCUUGUUAUCUAUUGAAGAUGGGAAAAGCCCUUGGUUUUAAAAUGUUAAAAACAGGAACCUUAGUUGUUAAAGAAAUCCAAAUCCGCUAGAUGUAUCAAAGUGCUGAGAAAGCUUCUCCUAGAGUUAAGAGAAAAGAAAAGAAUGAUUAGAAAAAGGGCUUAAAAGAUUCAUGAAUGCAAAUGGUAGAGUUAAGUUCUUAUAUUGGGAUUGGAGAUGGGAUUACCAUUAGAGCUUCAUUUGAGAUACUCUGGGUAGAUGGGAUCGUAUCUUUGUAUGCAUAGCUUGAGACUUACCUUUAGCAUUCUACUAAAGCUUAAUCAUUUUUUGAGAGAUCCCCUGUUACUGAAGCCUAUUCUGUAAGGGACCAUCUUUGUCUCUUGACCUUUUACCUUAGCCAAAUGAGUUCAUUGAUGAUGCAUUGCUUGAUUCACGUUCCAGAACUAAUGAAUGUUAAAGGGAUUGGUAGAUUUGAAAACAUGUGUAGGUCGAGCAUAUGAGUCGGAUUGAUUGAUAAUGAGGCAUGGCUAACGUUUUUAAGUAGAAUUAGAUCUUGCAGCUUAGAACUUUCAACUUGGACAUUGAUUUCAUCUGGUUUAUCUGGUGCUUUGGCUCUGAGUCCCCGUUUUCAAACCUCACCUCCAGCUUGUUCUUGAUUGUUUGCUUGAGGGCAAGCAAAGACUAAGUUUGGGGGAGUUGAUAAGUGUGUAUUUUGCAUGUUUUGAGUAUCCAUUUGUCAUCACUUUAGCAUCAUAUCGUCACUGUUUUAUACCAUUUCUCAACAUUUGUCAUCACUUUAUAUGUUUAGGAUAGAUUUGCAUGCAUGUUGCAUAUUUGUGUUGAUUUCAGGUGAUUUGGAGCUAUUGACGAGCUAACUGGAAGAAGCGGACCUGAUCAUGACAAAUCACUCGACCCAGAGAUCGAGUAGGAGCUUCAAGAUCUCAAGAGACCACUCGACCCCAAGAUCGAGUAGAAGAAAUCACCACUUCACCUCACCACUCGACCACGAGGUCGAGUGUCCUCAUCUCCAUCACCUGAUCAUCACUCGAUCACAUCACUCGACCCCAAGGUUGAGUGUCUUCACCUCCAUUACCAGACCACUACUCGACCACACCAC
rnacentral:sRNA from 1 species